AUUGAACGCUGGCGGAAUGCCUUACACAUGCAAGUCGAACGGCAGCACGGGUGCUUGCACCUGGUGGCGAGUGGCGAACGGGUGAGUAAUAUAUCGGCACGUAUCCAAUAAUGGGGGAUAACUAAUCGAAAGGUUGGCUAAUACCGCAUACGCCCUACGGGGGAAAGCUAGGGACCUUCGGGACUGGCGUUAAUGGAGCGGCCGAUAUCUGAUUAGCUAGUUGGUGGGGUAAUGGCCUACCAAGGCGACGAUCAGUAGCUGGUCUGAGAGGACGACCAGCCACACUGGAACUGAGACACGGUCCAGACUCCUACGGGAGGCAGCAGUGGGGAAUUUUGGACAAUGGGCGCAAGCCUGAUCCAGCCAUUCCGCGUGAGUGAAGAAGGCCUUCGGGUUGUAAAGCUCUUUCGCAAGGGAAGAAAACUUAUCCUCUAACAUAGGAUGAGGUUGACGGUACCUUGAUAAGAAGCACCGGCUAACUACGUGCCAGCCGCCGCCGUAAGAC
rnacentral:rRNA from 1 species